rnacentral:rRNA from 1 species
UACGAGGGGGGGCGAGCGUUGUUCGGAAUUAUUGGGCGUAAAGGGUGCGUAGGCGGUUUGGUAAGUCUUAUGUGAAAUCUACAGGCUCAACUUGUAGUCUGCAUGAGAAACUGCCGGGCUUGAGUAUGGGGAGAGGUGAGUGGAAUUCCUGGUGUAGCGGUGAAAAUGCGUAGAUAUCAGGAGGAACACCUGUGGCGAAAGCGGCUCACUGGACCAUAACUGACGCUGAUGCACGAAAGCUAGGGGGAGCAAACAGG